UGCGGGGUGGUGUAACUGGUAGCACGUCAGGCUCUGAACCUGAAGACUCAUGGUUCGAAUCCAUGCCCCGCAG
rnacentral:tRNA from 1 species